CGGCGGACAGGAAGUGCUCGCUCUGUGAGCACUUCAUUUCCGGCUGCCCGGGUACAGGAAACAUAAGUUCCUGUACCGCGGUGCGCUCGGCCACGCUACACAGAGUGAAUGGCAGGAGGGAGCGCUCUGCGCUCACCUCCUGCCGGUCACUCCGGCUUUGCGCCCGCCGGGCCGGUGCACCCUAAGGCGGCCACUUGUGCCGCCUUAUGGAUGCGCCGGCGGAGCGCACCCUCCCUCUCUCCGGCGACCUAUGGCCGCGUGCCCACAGAGUGGGCUUGGCGUGCCACCUGUGGCACGCGUGCCAUAGGUUCGCCACCACUGCCCUAUAGUGUUAACACCACCAUAUGGGCCCCUCAUGCCUCCAUAAAUAUAGUAAAAAUCUUACUGUAUUCAAGCCUGAAGCUGUAAAUCUGCAUGCUGUUAGAGUCAGAAAAACAAGCAGUCUGCUGACAUGUGGUAGCCUGAUCCAAUCACAAUGCUUCCCCAUAGGAUUGGCUGAGACUGACAAAGAGGCAGAUCAGGGGCAGAGCCAGCAUGAUUCAAACACAGCCCUGGCCAAUCAGCAUCUCCUCAUAGAGAUACAUUGAAUCAAUGAAUCUCUAUGAGGAAAGUUCAGUGUCUGCAUGCAGAGGGAGGAGAUACUAAAUCACAGGGUGCUGUGCACAGUGCUGCCCUGUGCUCCGCUGACAGCAGAUCUGAGUGGAUGGAGGCAUAUUAUGCCUCCAUCAACUCCGAAGUCCCUCUGAUUCCCUCUGAGUGACUGCAACAGGAGGUGUUCCUAGCUUUCAAUGUAAACACUGUAUUUUCUCAGAAAAUACAGUGUUUACAUGAGAGAGGCUGCAGGGAGCUAUAGUUCUCACCUGAUCAACCUCAUUAAGCUGAAGUUGUUCAGGUGACUAUAGUGUCCCUUUAAAUAAAGUCCUUCCAUGCUUGCUCCCUCCCAUCCACCUCUUUGGCUGACAUCAUCAGAAUUGGUGAUCGCUGCCAAGCACAAUGCUUUCCUAUAGGAAAGCAGUGGAUUGCCUGAGAUGAUCAAUUCUGAUCAUCUCAGCCAGUAAGAUGGGGUGGGGCGGAGACAAACCCCACCCUGGCCAAUUAGCAUCUCCUCAUAGAGAUGCAUUGAAUCAAUGCAUAUCUAUGGGGAAAGUUCUGCAUCUCCAUGCAGAUAUGGUGCUGACCUAGGAAGCAUCUCUAGUGGCCAUCUGAGUGACUGUCACUAGAGGUGUUACUAGGCACCAAUCUUAACACCUUUCUCUGAAAAGGCAGUGUUUACAUUGAAAUGCCUGCAUGGACUGACUAUAGACACCAUAACAAAUACAUUAAGCUUUAUAGUAUACAUUAACCUGUUGCUAGUUGUUCUGGUGACUAUAGUGUAACUAAUUUAAAAAAAAAACCUACUUGGAUCAUAUACCUUUUGCCCGAAAAAAAGACAUCCCCCGAAAAUAAGCCCUAGUCAUUCGCUAAUUUUCCCCAAACAUAGAUUUUGGGAAUUCCCCCGGACCAUAGACCUGCUUUCCAGUACACGUUUUUCCCAUGAAAUAAGACCCGGUUUUAUUAAUAUAAGACCUGAAAGGGUUAAUGCUGUUCUGGACUCAACUCCCCUCGAUUCUCGAUUCUCCGGUCACCAUAAUUAAAUUGAUGGAGAAUCAUUGUUAGCAAUAAAGACACGGACACCACAAAUGUGCUUUAACAAGAUUCUCAAAUGAGUGUAUUUUCAGGGCUAGCAUUUAUACACAGUUUGUCACGCAAGCAGCGAGAUUUAUCGCUUCAUUAUAGUUAAUAGCACAUAAUUCUCUGACAUUAAAAAGAUAAGCAUUUGAAUAAAGACGGGACAGGAACAUCCUGAGGUCGACCGACGUCAUACAUCCUGUAGAAGGGAGACCUCUCAGAGCAUGUUACAGAAUACAUCUACCAAGGUCAGCAUAAUUAUUUCAAACAUUAUUUUAAAGCAUAUAAUGCAAAAAGAGUUAACUAUUUCAUUGCCUUACAAGAUCCAGUCUUAAUUUUGUGGAAAGACAGUAUAUGUAUAUACAUAUGAUCUAA